AGCAGCCGCGGUAAUUCCAGCUCCAAUAGCGUAUAUUAAAGUUGUUGCAGUUAAAAGCUCGUAGUUGAAUUUCGGGAUCAAUAUGUUGGUCGUGCCUCGGUACGUACUAGCUUAUUGGUUUCUCCUUUCUGAAGAACCAUGAUGUCAUUUAUUUGGUGUCGUGGGGAAUCAGGACUGUUACUUUGAAAAAUUAGAGUGUUUAAAGCAGGCUCACGCUUGAAUACAUUAGCAUGGAAUAAUGAAAUAGGACGUUUGAUUCUAUUUUGUUGGUUUCUAGGAUCGACGUAAUGAUUAAUAGGGAUAGUUGGGGGCAUUAGUAUUCAAUUGUCAGAGGUGAAAUUCUUGGAUUUAUUGAAGACUAACUACUGCGAAAGCAUUUGCCAAGGAUGUUUUCAUUAAUCAAGAACGAAAGUUAGGGAUCGAAGACGAUCAGAUACCGUCGUAGUCUUAACCAUAAACUAUGCCGACUAGGGAUCGGAUGAUGUUAAUUUUUAUGUACUCUAUUCGGCG
rnacentral:misc_RNA from 1 species